UGGGGAGUCGCCAAGUGGUAAGGCAUCGGAUUUUGAUUCCGACAUUCGCAGGUUCGAUCCCUGCCUCCCCAG
rfam:Thiobacillus sp. SCN 64-317 ABT22_C0022, whole genome shotgun sequence.